rnacentral:lncRNA from 1 species
CUGUAAGGAUUGCUGCCCUGCCGGCUGGCUAGGUUGCUCUGUAAGUAAGGCUUUUCCCUAAUAAAUUCCCUUAUAUUUUACCUGGUUCCAUAUUGGUAAUUUCCCACAUUACUGCAUGUUCAUGCCCUUCUUCCAGCACCUUCUUUGGCUGUUUCUCUUAAUAUCUUCCUGCUUAGCUAUUGGCCAGUCAUAUCUUUUAUUAAACAAAACAGAAGGUGCCUCAGUAAAGACACAUCUUCCCAGUACACAAAAAGAUUAUUUCAUAAUAGAAAUAAUUCAAGGAAUACUCUUCUUCAUUUCCAGGGUGCAGAGAAGAACUUGAAAAAUCUCAAUGAUCUUUGGUACUACUUGGUCUUUAUCAGAAGUUAAAGAGGUUCUAAAGUUUGAAGCUGCAGAAUUAAGAGUCUGUCAAUGGAGCAAAAAACAGGCAAGAGGACAAGCCAACCUGAAAACUAUGAAGUCAGAAGUGACAGAGGUGAUGGAUUUUGAGAAGCUACAGCAUCUACUUCAAGAUCACAUGAGUAGGAAGGAAGCUUCCAGGUGAGAGUUCUGGUUUGAUUUCUCCAUGACCUAUGAUUUUGUAUCUUUA